ACUUGGAAACGAAGAAUAAUACCCUAUAAAACCAUAAAAGCACAUGCUAGAAUGGUCAAAGUGAUAGCGGUGUAAGAUGGACUUGCGUCUGAUUAGCUAGUUGGUGAGAUAAAAGCUCACCAAGGCAACGAUCAGUAGCCGGCUUGAGAGAGUGUACGGCCACAUUGGGACUGAGACACGGCCCAG
rnacentral:rRNA from 1 species